UACGGAGGAUGCAAGCGUUAUCCGGAUUUAUUGGGUUUAAAGGGUUCGCAGGCGGCGCGUUAAGUCAGCGGUGAAAUCUCCCGGCUCAACCGGGGAACUGCCGUUGGUACUGGCGUGCUAGAGUACGGACGGCACCGGCGGAAUGUGUCAUGUAGUGGUGAAAUGCUUAGAUAUGCCACAGAACACCGAUCGCGAAGGCAGCAGGCGAGGCCGGAACUGACGCUCAGGCACGAAAGCGUGGGGAUCAAAC
rnacentral:rRNA from 1 species